rnacentral:rRNA from 1 species
GUCCACGCCCUAAACGAUGUCGACUAGUUGUUGGAAGGGUUAAACCUUUAGUAACGUAGCUAACGCGUGAAGUCGACCGCCUGGGGAGUACGGCCGCAAGGUUAAACUCAAAGGAAUUGACGGGGACCCGCACAAGCGGUGGAUGAUGUGGAUUAAUUCGAUGCAACGCGAAAACCUUACCUACCCUUGACAUGUCAGGAAUCCCGGAGAGAUUUGGGAGUGCCCGAAAGGGAGCCUGAACACAGGUGCUGCAUGGCUGUCGU